rnacentral:misc_RNA from 1 species
GAUGAAGAACGCAGCGAAAUGCGAUAAGUAAUGUGAAUUGCAGAAUUCAGUGAAUCAUCGAAUCUUUGAACGCACAUUGCGCCCCUUGGUAUUCCGAGGGGCAUGCCUGCUCGAGCGUCAUUAUAACCCCUCAAGCUCAGCUUGGUGUUGGGGCCUGCUGCACUGGCAGCCCUUAAAAUCAGUGGCGGCGCCAUCUGGCUCUAAGCGUAGUAAUUCUUCUCGCUAUGGAGUCCUGGUGGAUGCUUGCCAUCAACCCCCAAUUUUUCUAUGCUUGACCUCGGAUCAGGUAGGGAUACCCGCUGAACUUAAGCAUAUCAAUAAGCGGAGGA